rnacentral:rRNA from 1 species
UACGGAGGGCGCGAGCGUUACCCGGAUUUACUGGGCGUAAAGGGCGUGUAGGCGGCCUGGGGCGUCCCAUGUGAAAGGCCACGGCUCAACCGUGGAGGAGCGUGGGAUACGCUCAGGCUAGACGGUGGGAGAGGGUGGUGGAAUUCCAGGAGUAGCGGUGAAAUGCGCAGAUACCGGGAGGAACGCCGAUGGCGAAGGCAGCCACCUGGUCCACCCGGGACGCUGAGGCGAGAAAGCGUGGGGAGCAAACCGG